GUCGGCUAUGGCGAUAUGGCGCCGAAAACGUACGUCGGCAUGUUCGUCGGGGCGCUCUGUGCUCUGGCAGGCGUGUUAACAAUCGCCCUUCCGGUGCCGGUCAUCGUUAGCAAC
rfam:Anopheles atroparvus strain EBRO unplaced genomic scaffold supercont1.1, whole genome shotgun sequence.